GUGGGAGUGGUGGAAUGGCAGACACGGCAGACUUAAAAUCUGCUGGCCGCAAGGUCGUGAGGGUUCGAGUCCCUCCUUCCGCA
rnacentral:tRNA from 2 species